rnacentral:tRNA from 1 species
GCCGGUGAGUGGCUCAGUGGUAGAGCCUAAGACUUGUGGACCGGAGGGUCCCGGGUUCAAUUCCCGCAAGAGGCA